UACGUAGGGUGCAAGCGUUGUCCGGAAUUAUUGGGCGUAAAGAGCUCGUAGGCGGUUUGUCGCGUCUGCUGUGAAAACUCGGGGCUUAACUCCGGGCCUGCAGUGGGUACGGGCAGACUAGAGUAUGGGAGAGGGAUGUAGAAUUCCAGGUGUAGCGGUGAAAUGCGUAGAUAUCUGGAGGAAUACCGGUGGCGAAGGCGGCAUCCUGGACCAUAACUGACGCCGAGGCGCGAAAGCUAGGGGAGCAAACGGG
rnacentral:rRNA from 1 species